GAGACACAGGACCACACAUGGAAGAGCCACUGCGUUAUCAGCCUGACACCUACAAACCCCUCAGCCACUUAACAAGGAGGGGGGAGGAAGUUGUCUUAAAAGGCUAUUUCUUCCUCUCGGGAGGGUAAGAUCCAUUAAAAUCCCAGGAAGACAGGAAAGAAUGGUCUCUCCCUUCUCAAGGGAAAGAGCUGGGGGCAUAAACCCACUCAAAGAGGAGCUCGCCCGUCAUGGCAUCUUCUAGGAAGGAUGGCCCCAGGACGCAUCACCCCAGGAGGAGACACUCCAGAGAACGGACAGAGGGCCUUGAUAACCGUGCCGGGCGUGAACGGAGAUGAGCCAGCAGAGACGGGACACGUGGCCACCUCCCAGUUACAGUGACCUCACCCCAGGACUUAGAGUAGAAAACUCAUUCGA